rnacentral:rRNA from 1 species
GACGAACGCUGGCGGCGUGCCUAACACAUGCAAGUCGAACGGGGAGUUAGUAAUAACUCCUAGUGGCGAACGGGUGAGUAACGCGUAGAUAACCUGCCUCUAAACUGGGGACAACACCGCGAAAGUGGUGCUAAUACCGAAUGUGGUAACUUGAUCGCAUGAUUGAGUUAAGAAAGAUGGCCUCUAUUUAUACGCUAUCGAUUAGAGAUGGGUCUGCGUCUGAUUAGCUAGUUGGUGAGGUAAUGGCGCACCAAGGCGACGAUCAGUAGCCGGGCUGGGAGGAUGAGACGCCACCCUGGGACUUAGACCCGGCCCAGACUCCUGCGAGAGGCAGCAGUGGGGAAUCUUCCGCAAUGGACGAAAGUCUGACGGAGCAACGCCGCGUGAGUGAAGAAGGUCUUCGGAUUGUAAAGCUCUGUCGUUUGGGACGAACGUGGGUAGUGUGAAUAAUGCUAUCUAAUGACGGUACCAAAGGAGGAAGCCACGGCUAACUACGUGCCAGCCGCCGCCGUAA